GGGGUUGUGGCUCAGCGGUAGAGCACUUGCCUAGCAUGUGCAAGGCCCUGGGUUCGAUCCUCAGCACCA
rnacentral:tRNA from 1 species